AUCACUCUCUCCUGCUGCCACGUGAAGAAGAUAUUUGCUUCCCCUUUGCCUUCCACCAUGAUUGUAAGUUUCCUGAGGCCUCCCAUUCAUGCUUCCUGUUAAGCCUGCAGAACCGUGAGUCGAUUAAAUUUCUUUUCUUCAUAAAUUACCCAGUCGCAGGUAGUUCUUUAUAGCAGUGUGAGAAUGGAUUAAUACAGACUAGUAAUAGCAAACUGCAUUGUAACUGAGACCAUCCAGUUCAACCUUAUAUUUCAGCUACUACAAGUCCUGAUUGAUGAUCCAACCAACCUAAUUUUUAUAGUCAAGACACUCAUAAGCACCUGCCAUAGAUUUAGCAUCAAAACUGUCAGUUUUCUAGAUUUUCCUUUCCGAAGCAUCCUAGGCUCUUGAACAUAGUAGUAAAAGGAAAAGUCACGGCUCUUUCCUGCUGUGUGUGUCAAACCUUCCUUGCUGGCAUCCGUUCUGGUUGGUGAGAGGCAGUUUAGACUAGACAUUGUCUGAAGUUUGGAGUUGUUAAAAGGGGCUAUUUGGGAGGUAUCUUGAAAAUACUUAAUGCUUCUCUUUGCUUGCACCAAGGCAAAGAAAUAAACCUUUUAGAAUUCACAAAGGGAGGAAAGAAGAACAAAAGGGCAAUCAUCAGAGGCAGUGGUUUGGAUGAUAAGCAAGUCUGUUGUUUUCAUGUCACUUCUGUUGUUCCUGUGCUGGAUGUCUUCCAAUUGCACACUCCUCCCUUAUCUACCCUGCUUUCUGUCUAGAGAGGCUGACCUGUUUUAAAUUAAAUCAAUGGUUUUCCAAAUGUGGCCCCUGGAUAAUCAGUAUCACCUGGGGACUUGCUGGAAGUGCACAUUUUCAGGCCCCAUCCCAGACCUCUUGAAUCAUAAACUCUGGGGGUGGGACCCAGGAAUCUGUGCUUCGACAAACUGGCCAAGUGAUUCUGAAGCAUUCUAACCUUUGAGAAUCACUAGAUUACAAAAUUAAGCUCCUUUGUGGCCUCUAGUUGGUUUUGAUCAGUGGGGAGCAUCAAUAGGAAAUCUGAGGGAGGGAGGAGAAUGUGGUCUGGGCAUUUAUUUUCCCAGCUCUCUCCCUAUGAGGUCACUGGCAUUUGGCCACAUUCCUCUAAUGGAGGCCACAUCUGUAGGAGGCUUUUGCAGGUCACAGUAACCUCUCCUCCUCUUGGGGCUCUUGCUGUGGCUAGCCUCACAGGUGCUACAUUCUUCCUUAAUAGCUUCUCUCAAAUCUGCCCACACUUGUAAAUAGUCCCUUUAAUGACCUCUUCUUGAUGACCCUAUUUGAGUAUAGUUGGUAUAGUUCCCAGUGCAAUUUUUGUAAUGUCUAUUUAAGUGACUCUUUACUUUCGUGAAUACUCUUUUUUCCCUUAUUUACUUCAUAGGAUUGUUAGGAGGACUAAAUGAAUUAAUAUGCUUAUCACGGUGUCUGGUUCAUAGGCAGACAAUAUAUAGUAGUUAUUUGUAGAGGUGUUACAGUGUUUUUGCUGUAUGCAGCCAUUAGAUAUCAAUAUGUAAAUGUCUUUAGCAUCUUUCCAUUAUUGCACCUCUGCCCCUUGGCCAUCCGGUAUUACAGUUGAUUUUCAUAUUGAUUAACUGAUUUCAGGUGGAGGAAUAAUCAGAACCAUGAAAAAGUUCAACAGUUUGGUGGUUAAACAUUAAAACCAGUUUUAAAUCAUCAGAACCAAAGUGCCAUUAAACUCAAUAAUUAAGUGAUUAUUAUCUAAUUUAUAAAACAUGUAGAAAGGUUUGCAGUUCCUUAUUAACAGCUAUUGUUGCUCCUCAAUGGAUUCUAAGUUUACUGGCACUGCUGUGAACAUCUCACUAGUAAUAAGACAUCAUGAAAUUAUGUGUGUGAUCACCCAAAUAGGUAAAAAAUUAAGUGGAGAGUAUGAGGGGGUCUUAACAGUGACUUCUAUCUCAGUAUGUCUGCUUUGUCCAGGGCGAGCUUCCAGGAUCCUGCACCCAAAAGGACUAUGGUUUGAUUUAAUGAUUCGUUUGGAAUUUUUAACAAUUUUUGAACAGUGGGCCCCACAUUUUUACUUUGCAUUGCCCCGUAGGAUUAUGUGGUUGGUUCUUGCUCUGCCAUAUUCAUAUUUGUUCAAGAUGACCCAGUUAAGUAUGAUUACUAUCAAAAAUAAAGUCUGACUGUAUUAUCAUACCUAUUAAUAAUUACUUUAUUCAUUUUGGUCUCCAGAUGAAAGUUUCUAAAACUCCAGCUCUCACUGUAUUAAACAAAUGUGUUCAUCUCAAAAACUGAAAAAUAGUUUUACCUGUAUCACUAUUUCUAAUUAAAUAUAACAGAUAAGGAAACAGAUAAGAUCCAGUAUACAAAAUCAACAGGAUUAUGUUGAAAAUACUGAGAAGUUAAGGUGCUAACAGGAACUGCUAUUCUAUUUCAUCAGGCAACCAAGCCAUAAAGGUUCUGACUCAAAGCUACAGACACACACGAAAAAUGCUUUUCUUUGGAUAGAUUUCCUUUGAGAGUAAAAUAAGGAAUAGUAGAUAUCCUUGGUAGCUCAGCAACAGGUAAGUUUCAUCUAAACAAUAACUUUGUUAGUCAGAGGCUAUCUUCCCUGAAUAACCUAAAAUUAUUAUUAAUUAAAUUUUUUUUUGAGAUGGAGUCUUGCACUGUCGCCCAGGCUGGAGUGCAGUGGCACGAUCUCCGCUCACUGCAACCUCCGCUUCCUGGGAUCAAGCGAUUCUCCUGCCUCAGCCUCCUGAGUAUCUGGGAUUACAGGUGCCUGCCACCACGCCUGGCUAAUUUUUUGUAUUUUUAGUAGAGACAGGGUUUCACUAUGUUGGCCAGGCUGGUCUUGAACUCCUGACCUCAUAAUCCGCCCACCUUGGCCUCCCAAAGUGCUGGGAUUACAGGCAUGAGCCACCACACCUGGCCCCUAAAAUUAUUUUUUUUUCUUUUAAGUUCUGGGAUAUAUGUGCAGGACAUGCAGGUUUGUUACGUAGGCAAACGUGCCUUGGUGGUUUGCUGCACCUACCAACCCAUCACCUAGGUAUUAUCUUGAUGCUCUCCCUCCCCCACUCCGCCUCUGACAGGCCCCAAUGUGUGUUGUUAUCCUCCCUGUGUCCAUGUGUUCUCAUUGUUCAGCUCUCACUUAUAAGUGAGAACAUGUGGUGUUUGUUUUCUGUUCCUGCAUUAGUUUGCUGAGGAUAAUGGCUUCAAGCACCAUCCAUGUCCCUGCAAAGGACAUGAUCUGGUUCUUUUUUAUGGCUGCAAAGUAUUCCAUGGUGUACAUGUACCACAUUUUCUUUAUUCAGUCUAUCAUUGAUGGGCAUUUAGGUUGAUUCCAUGUCUUUGCUAUUGUGAAUAGUGCUGCAGUGAACAUAUGCAUGCAUGUAUCUUUAUAAUAGAAUGAUUUCUAUUCCUUUGGGUAUAUACUCAGUAAUGGGGUUGCUGGGUCAAAUGGUAUUUCUGGUUCUAGGUUUUGAGGAAUCGCCACCCCGUCUUCCACAAUGGUUGAACUAUUUUACACCAACACUGUAAAAGCAUUCCUAUUUCUCCACAGCCUCACCAGCAUCUGUUUCUUGACUUUUUGAUAAUCACCAUUCUGACUGGCAUGAGAUGGUAUCUCACUGUGGUUUUGAUUUGCAUUUCUCUAAUGCUCGGUGCUAUUGAGCUUUUUUUUCAUAUAUAUUUUGGCCGCAUAAAUGUCUUCUUUUGAGAAGUGGCUGUUCACGUCCUUUGCCCUAACCUAAAAUUAUUGAUGAAAAUAGAAAAACUUUGGGUUUGAGAAUAAAUUUUUUCUACAGGGUUGGGACUUGGUUAUGAAAAUGGAAGUAAUUUCUGGUUAAAAAUUUAUUUCCUCAAGGAAUAAAUAUCUAAUACCUGACAUAAGGGUGACUCAGAAUGUCACUGUUUUCCUUUUUGGCAUCCAAUGAACAAAUCUUAGAAAAGGUUACAUGAGCCAAUUAACAGCCUUUUCCCAACAUGGUGAAGAAACACUCUAUUCAAUUAUGGUUUGCACGGCAGGCUCUCUUACUGUCUUUACUCUGACCAGUCCUUGUGAGACAUGGCAUUAGUAUACAAUUGGAUCCAUUGAAAUAAUUCAUUCCAUUAUAUAUCAUAAUACAAGGAACCUUGCCAUGGCAAGUCAAGAAAUCUCACUACCCAAAGCAGCUGUGGGCUAAAAGAAUGUCAAGGCUUGCAGGGACAGAUAUAUUGGAUGCUUGCAAUGUGUGGGUAGAAUUGUGAGGCCUUAUCCUGGUGCUUGGAUACAUCAUCUAGAAUUAAAUGCUAAAGUCUUUCAGUGCUUUCUUAGCAUUUACAGCUUUUCUCCUAUACUGUUUGACUGGACUUCACUAAAGGAAAUUUAUAACACUCAAACUUAAUAUCAGUUUUCUCACUAAGCAAACCACCCAACCAGUGUUUUAAAGGAAAAAAAAAGUGUUAUAUCAUUCCUUCCUCCUAAAUCACUAAAGUGGACCCAUUGAGCACCCACAGACUGAUGAAAAUGUGCUCCAAGGCAGGAGGAUGGCUUGAAGCCAGGAGUUCAAGACUAGCCUGGACAAUAUAGUGAAAACUGUCUCUACCAUUUUUUUUAAUACAAAAAUUAGCCAGGUGUGGUGGUUUGUACCUGUAGUUUUAGCAACUCAGGAUGCUGAGGCGAGAGGAUUGCUUGAGCCCAGGAUUUUGAGGCUGCAGUGAGCUACGUUUGCAUCACUACACUCCAGCCUGGGUGAUAAAGUGAAAUCCUGUC
rnacentral:lncRNA from 1 species